rnacentral:rRNA from 1 species
UCCGUGGUGCACUCUACCCCGCUCAGGCGAGUGUCGGUUGCGGCAGGGGGACAAAAGCUCCGGGAACGAGGAUCCUCGGGGAGUUUUAUAGCCCUCCCCUCAACACCCUAGCCGGGACCGAGGUUCGCGCUCCGCAAGGACGAGGGCUUAAUGGUCAUCAGCCACCCGUCUUGAAACACGGACCAAGGAGUCGAGGUUUUGCGCGAGUGUUUGGGUGUAAAACCCGCACGCGUAAUGAAAGUGAACGUAGGUGAUAGUUUCGGCGCAUCAUCGACCGAUCCUGAUGUAUUUGGAUGGAUUUGAGUAAGAGCGUAAAGCCUCGGACCCGAGAGAUGGUGAACUACGCCUGAAUAGGGUGAAGCCAGAGGAAACUCUGGUGGAGGCUAGCAGGG